rnacentral:rRNA from 1 species
UACGGGGGGAGCAAGCGUUGUUCGGAUUUACUGGGCGUAAAGGGCGCGUAGGCGGCCACCGCAAGUCGGUUGUGAAAUCUCUGGGCUUAACCCAGAAAGGUCAACCGAUACUGCGGGGCUAGAGUGCAGAAGGGGCAACUGGAAUUCUCGGUGUAGCGGUGAAAUGCGUAGAUAUCGGGAGGAACACCAGUGGCGAAGGCGGCUUUCUGGCCUGUUCUUGACGCUGAGGCGCGAAAGCUAGGGGAGCAAACGGG